GCCACGCCCGCUCAAGAAACUACAAAGGAAUUGACGGGGCCCGCACAAGCGGAGGAGCAUGUGGUUUAAUUCGAUGAUACGCGAGGAACCUUACCUGGGCUCGAACGUAAGAUGACUGUAGGUGAAAGCUUACAUCUCUUCGGAGCAUUUUACGAGGUGCUGCAUGGUUGUCGUCAGCUCGUGCCGUGAGGUGUCGGGUUAAGUCCCAUAACGAGCGCAACCCCUACCUUUAGUUGCCAUCAGGUAAUGCUGGGGACUCUAAAGGAACUGCCUACGCAAGUAGUGAGGAAGGCGGGGAUGACGUCAAAUCAGCACGGCCCUUACGUCCAGGGCUACACACGUGCUACAAUGGCCGAUACAGAGGGCAGCUACCUGGUGACAGGAUGCAAAUCUCCAAAGUCGGUCUCAGUUCGGAUCGGAGUCUGCAACCCGACUCCGUGAAGUUGGAUUCGCUAGUAAUCGCGCAUCAGCCAUGGCGCGGUGAAUACGUUCCCGGGCCUU
rnacentral:rRNA from 1 species